UACGAAGGGGGCUAGCGUUGUUCGGAAUUACUGGGCGUAAAGCGUACGUAGGCGGGUCGUUAAGUCAGGGGUGAAAUCCCGGAGCUCAACUCCGGAACUGCCUUUGAUACUGGCGAUCUUGAGAUCGGAAGAGGUGAGUGGAAUUCCCAGUGUAGAGGUGAAAUUCGUAGAUAUCGGGAGGAACACCAGUGGCGAAGGCGGCGACCUGGGCCAAUAUUGACGCUGAGGUGCGAAAGCGUGGGGAGCAAACAGG
rnacentral:rRNA from 1 species